rnacentral:rRNA from 1 species
UGGGGAAUUUUGGACAAUGGGCGAAAGCCUGAUCCAGCAAUGCCGCGUGUGUGAAGAAGGCCUUCGGGUUGUAAAGCACUUUUGUCCGGAAAGAAAUCCUUGGCUCUAAUACAGUCGGGGGAUGACGGUACCGGAAGAAUAAGCACCGGCUAACUACGUGCCAGCAGCCGCGGUAAUACGUAGGGUGCAAGCGUUAAUCGGAAUUACUGGGCGUAAAGCGUGCGCAGGCGGUUUGCUAAGACCGAUGUGAAAUCCCCGGGCUCACUGGAACUGCAUUGGUGACUGGCAGGCUAGAGUAUGGCAGAGGGGGGUAGAAUUCCACGUGUAGCAGUGAAAUGCGUAGAGAUGUGGAGGAAUACCGAUGGCGAAGGCAGCCCCCUGGGCCAAUACUGACGCUCAUGCACGAAAGCGUGGGGAGCAAACAGGAUUAGAUACCCUGGUAGUCCACGCCCUAAACGAUGUCAACUAGUUGUUGGGGAUUCAUUCCUUAGUAACGUAGCUAACGCGUGAAGUUGACCGCCU